UGGGGAAUUUUGGACAAUGGGCGAAAGCCUGAUCCAGCAAUGCCGCGUGUGUGAAGAAGGCCUUCGGGUUGUAAAGCACUUUUGUCCGGAAAGAAAUCCUUGGCUCUAAUACAGUCGGGGGAUGACGGUACCGGAAGAAUAAGCACCGGCUAACUACGUGCCAGCAGCCGCGGUAAUACGUAGGGUGCAAGCGUUAAUCGGAAUUACUGGGCGUAAAGCGUGCGCAGGCGGUUUGCUAAGACCGAUGUGAAAUCCCCGGGCUCAACCUGGGAACUGCAUUGGUGACUGGCAGGCUAGAGUAUGGCAGAGGGGGGUAGAAUUCCACGUGUAGCAGUGAAAUGCGUAGAGAUGUGGAGGAAUACCGAUGGCGAAGGCAGCCCCCUGGGCCAAUACUGACGCUCAUGCACGAAAGCGUGGGGAGCAAAACAGGAUUAGAUACCCUGGUAGUCCACGCCCUAAACGAUGUCAACUAGUUGUUGGGGAUUCAUUUCCUUAGUAACGUAGCUAACGCGUGAAGUUGACCGCCUGGGGAGUACGGUCGCAAGAUUAAAACUUAAAGGAAUUGACGGGGUC
rnacentral:rRNA from 1 species